rnacentral:snoRNA from 1 species
UAGAUGAUGACUAUUGGUGGCAUAUGAGUCAGGUACAAUGAAUAUGUGUCUGGAACUCUGAGGCCCAG